rnacentral:lncRNA from 1 species
AUGUUUAACCUGGUUGGCCCCCUCCUCUGCCACUCAUCACCUAGGUCAAAUUGCAAGAUUCUUAUGUUUUGUGUUUGCACCAUAAGGCGGUUGUCUUGGUCACGGGUUGUAUUAGAAAGAGAUUCUGUUUUUCCAGCCUUCUCAAGCUUCCUUCAGUGCUGUUGGGAAAGUAUUCUGCAUUCAGUAGCAUUGUUGGCCAUCCCCUGUAAUGAAUUUCUGAAGAGCCCUGAAAACCUGAAGAAUUGAGCCCUGAUUAGUAUUUUGAGCUGGCGAUUUACUGGUUCAUCAAUGAAACAAUAUUAUAUUAUGAAGAUGUAAGAAAAAUUCCUGUGCUCACCUUGUUGAAGUUUGAAAGGUAAGCUGCUCCCCACUAGAUUAAGCUUUAUCAGUCUAUUAAGAGGCCAAUAUAUCAUUGUGCCAUAUGACAGAUACAAUAUUUAUCAGAUUAUCAUUGAAAUGGUAUCUAUGAUAAUCACUGAAAACUUAGUUGUCAUCUGUUCAACGUCCUAUAAUGUAAUAGAAGCCACUUACUCAGGAAUAAAACUCUCUGAGAUAUAGAACUAAUUUCA